rnacentral:tRNA from 1 species
GAGACACUAGUAAAAACAUCUACAUUGCCUUGUCAAGGCAAAAUUGUGGGUUAGAGUCCCACGUGUCUUA